UACGAAGGGUGCAAGCGUUACUCGGAAUUACUGGGCGUAAAGCGUGCGUAGGUGGUUCGUUAAGUCUGAUGUGAAAGCCCUGGGCUCAACCUGGGAAUGGCAUUGGAAACUGGCGACCUAGAGUGCGGUAGAGGGUAGUGGAAUUCCCGGUGUAGCAGUGAAAUGCGUAGAUAUUGGGAGGAACACCGGUGGCGAAGGCAGAUCUCUGGGCCAUAACUGACGCUGAGAAGCGAAAGCAUGGGGAGCGAACAGG
rnacentral:rRNA from 1 species